AAGUCGUAACAAGGUUUCCGUAGGUGAACCUGCGGAAGGAUCAUUAACACGUAUCCACGUAUCAACCAAUGCGAACUUGUUUUCAAUCUCCCUUGACCCUACAUGAAUUGACAAUAGGCAGUGAUCGAGAGAGGAGCUCUUCGGGGCUCAUCGCUGCCUACCAACUGAUCUUCGGAUCGACAAUUGUAGUAGGGUUGAGACUCUUCUGACGUGAGCAUAGCCACUCUUUGGGCCAGCUUCGUUGGAUACACACCUAUCUCACCCCCUUUUUGCUAGUUGACUUUAUAUAUGUUAGUAGUGAGUAUGCUUGCAUACGACCUAUUACACGUUUAUUUAUUUGAACGUUAUGAAACAACUCUUAGCAAUGGAUAUCUUGGUUCUC
rnacentral:misc_RNA from 1 species